GUAUUAUUAAAUUAGAAAAUCUGAUUGUAACCUUAAAUAUCUCUAAAAUUAGAGAGGUACUAGUCUUGUUUUACUUUGUGAUGUUCAAACCUUCCUUUAAAGUACUGGGGUCUUCUGCCUUGGAUUUAGACUUUCCUGAUAACCCACCCUUGGGAUCCUUAGAACAGAUAGCCAGAGUACCAUGCCCUCACUAUGCAGAGCCUAUGCCCUUAAUCAGCGGGAAGCAGAUACAGAAGAAUGACUUCCUCCCACAUCAAGCCUUAAGGAUAAGGGAUGGAAAUCUUUAAGCUGGGGGAAUGAGACAGGAAUAAUACAGGAUGAUCACAGAUUAGGAAAAUUCCAGGCAGCAGUUUCAAAUGACUAGCAAAAAGAAACUGUUAAAAUAGCUGCAGAGCCAGCGGGCUGAUAAGACCCUGAAAAACCGGGUGUGUACCAAGCUGGCUAAGACCAAAUGAACCAAAUAGUUGGUUUGGUUCUGGAUUUGCGCUAGGUUUCACCUAGGACCUCAUUAUACACCCGUUAACAUACAAAUCACACACCCACCACUGCCAUGGCACUUCCGGGCACACCCAUAUUUGGUGUAAAAAUGAGUGACACCACAGUUCUGAGAAACCUUUACCUUUUUCCAGGAAUCUUCAUGAAUAUUCCACCCCUUGGUUAAAGACACCAUGAAGAUAGGAACCCCAGCCCCCUUGCAUGAUUCUCUCUUGAGUACACCCCACUCCCCUUUCUUGAGUGUGUACUUUUGCUUUGCAACAAGAACAAGUCUGUACUUUUACUUUAAAAAAAAA